CCUACGGGAGGCAGCAGUGGGGAAUUUUGGACAAUGGGCGCAAGCCUGAUCCAGCAAUGCCGCGUGCAGGAUGAAGGCCUUCGGGUUGUAAACUGCUUUUGUACGGAACGAAACGGUGAGCUCUAAUACAGUUUGCUAAUGACGGUACCGUAAGAAUAAGCACCGGCUAACUACGUGCCAGCAGCCGCGGUAAUACGUAGGGUGCGAGCGUUAAUCGGAAUUACUGGGCGUAAAGCGUGCGCAGGCGGUGAUGUAAGACAGAUGUGAAAUCCCCGGGCUCAACCUGGGACCUGCAUUUGUGACUGCAUCGCUAGAGUACGGUAGAGGGGGAUGGAAUUCCGCGUGUAGCAGUGAAAUGCGUAGAUAUGCGGAGGAACACCGAUGGCGAAGGCAAUCCCCUGGACCUGUACUGACGCUCAUGCACGAAAGCGUGGGGAGCAAACAGGAUUAGAUACCCUGGUAGUCCACGCCCUAAACGAUGUCAACUGGUUGUUGGGUCUUCACUGACUCAGUAACGAAGCUAACGCGUGAAGUUGAACCGCCGUGGGGUUGGUUACGGCGCGAGUAGAACGACANAGAGUUAGACGGCGNGAGACGNGCGACGGACGACGACGAGGGAGGAGG
rnacentral:rRNA from 1 species